GAUGAACGCUGGCGGCGUGCCUAAUACAUGCAAGUCGAGCGAACAGACGAGGAGCUUGCUCCUCUGACGUUAGCGGCGGACGGGUGAGUAACACGUGGAUAACCUACCUAUAAGACUGGGAUAACUUCGGGAAACCGGAGCUAAUACCGGAUAAUAUAUUGAACCGCAUGGUUCAAUAGUGAAAGACGGUUUUGCUGUCACUUAUAGAUGGAUCCGCGCCGCAUUAGCUAGUUGGUAAGGUAACGGCUUACCAAGGCAACGAUGCGUAGCCGACCUGAGAGGGUGAUAGGCCACACUGGAACUGAGACACGGUCCAGACUCCUACGGGAGGCAGCAGUAGGGAAUCUUCCGCAAUGGGCGAAAGCCUGACGGAGCAACGCCGCGUGAGUGAUGAAGGUCUUCGGAUCGUAAAACUCUGUUAUUAGGGAAAAACAAAUGUGUAAGUAACUAUGCACGUCUUGACGGUACCUAAUCAGAAAGCCACGGCUAACUACGUG
rnacentral:rRNA from 1 species